rnacentral:rRNA from 1 species
AUGCGAGUCGAGAGGGUUCGGCCCUCGGCAGACGGCUCAGUAACACGUGGAUAAUCUGCCCUUAGGUGGAGGAUAACCUCGGGAAACUGAGAAUAAUACUCCAUAGAUCUAGGAUGCUGGAAUGCACUUAGAUUGAAAGUUCCGGCGCCUAAGGAUGAGUCUGCGGACUAUCAGGUAGUAGUCAGGGUAAAGGCCUGACUAGCCUACGACGGAUACGGGUUGUGAGAGCAAUAACCCGGAGACGAUAUCUGAGACACGAUAUCGGGCCCUACGGGGCGCAGCAGGCGCGAAACCUUCACAAUGUGCGAAAGCGCGAUGAGGGGAUCCCAAGUGCUUGCUCGUAAGAGUAAGCUGUUUUUAUGUCUAAAACGCAUAGAGAGUAAGGGCUGGGUAAGACGGGUGCCAGCCGCCGCGGUAAUACCUGCAGCUCAAGUGGUGACCGCUAUUAUUGGGCCUAAAACAUUCGUAGCCGGUUUGGUAAAUGCCUGGGUAAAUCGUGUAGCUUAACUAUACGAAUUCCGGGUAGACUGCCAAACUUGAGACCGGGAGAAGCUAGAGGUACUCCUUGGGUAGAGGUGAAAUUCUGUAAUCCUAGGGGGACCACCAGUGGCGAAGGCGUCUAGCUAGAACAGGUUUGACGGUGAGGAAUGAAGCCCUGGGGCGCAAACCGGAUUAGAUACCCGGGUAGUCCAGGGUGUAAACGCUGCUUGCUUGAUGUUAGUUGGGCUCCGAGCCCAAUUAGUGUCGGAGAGAAGUUGUUAAGCAAGCUGCCUGGGAAGUACGAUCGCAAGAUUGAAACUUAAAGGAAUUGGCGGGGGAGCACAGCAACGGGUGGAGCGUGCGGUUUAAUUGGAUUCAACGCCGGAA